rnacentral:rRNA from 1 species
GUGGGGAAUAUUGGACAAUGGGCGCAAGCCUGAUCCAGCAAUGCCGCGUGGGUGAAGAAGGCCUUCGGGUUGUAAAGCCCUUUUGUACGGAAAGAAAUCCUGGUGGUUAAUACCCGCCGGGGAUGACGGUACCGUAAGAAUAAGCACCGGCUAACUUCGUGCCAGCAGCCGCGGUAAUACGAAGGGUGCAAGCGUUAAUCGGAAUUACUGGGCGUAAAGCGUGCGUAGGUGGUUUCUUAAGUCUGUCGUGAAAGCCCUGGGCUCAACCUGGGAAUGGCGAUGGAUACUGGGAGGCUAGAGUGCGGUAGAGGAUGGCGGAAUUCCCGGUGUAGCGGUGAAAUGCGUAGAGAUCGGGAGGAACAUCUGUGGCGAAGGCGGCCAUCUGGACCAGCACUGACACUGAGGCACGAAAGCGUGGGGAGCAAACAGGAUUAGAUACCCCAGUAGUCC